UGGUUCAGUUGGUAGAGCAUGGCGCUUGCAACGCCAGGGUUGUGGGUUCUAGUCCCAC
rnacentral:tRNA from 1 species